AGCGAACGCUGGCGGCAGGCUUAACACAUGCAAGUCGAACGCAUCCUUCGGGGUGAGUGGCAGACGGGUGAGUAACACGUGGGAACGUACCCUUCGAUCUGGGAUAACUUCGGGAAACUGGAGCUAAUACCGGAUACGCCCUUUUGGGGAAAGGUUUACUGUCGAAGGAUCGGCCCGCGUCUGAUUAGCUAGUUGGUGGGGUAACGGCCUACCAAGGCGACGAUCAGUAGCUGGUCUGAGAGGAUGAUCAGCCACACUGGGACUGAGACACGGCCCAGACUCCUACGGGAGGCAGCAGAGGGGAAUAUUGGACAAUGAGCGCAAGCCUGAUCCAGCCAUGCCGCGUGAGUGAUGAAGGCCUUAGGGUUGUAAAGCUCUUUUGUCCGAGACGAUAAUGACGGUACCGGAAGAAUAAGCCCCGGCUAACUUCGUG
rnacentral:rRNA from 1 species